rnacentral:rRNA from 1 species
UACAGAGGGGGCAAGCGUUGUUCGGAAUUACUGGGCGUAAAGGGCGCGUAGGUGGCCAACUAAGUCAGACGUGAAAUCCCUCGGCUUAACCGGGGAACUGCGUCUGAUACUGGAUGGCUUGAGUGUGGGAGAGGGAUGCGGAAUUCCAGGUGUAGCGGUGAAAUGCGUAGAUAUCUGGAGGAAUACCGGUGGCGAAGGCGGCAUCCUGGACCAACACUGACGCUGAGGCGCGAAAGCUAGGGGAGCAAACGGG